GUUGGUUGAGUGUUUUGUGCAUGAUAGUUUUUCGUACUAUCGGUGGGGUUUCCCAAUCAAUU
rnacentral:tRNA from 1 species